rnacentral:rRNA from 1 species
UACGAAGGGUGCAAGCGUUACUCGGAAUUACUGGGCGUAAAGCGCGCGUAGGCGGCCCGGUAAGUCCGCUGUGAAAGUCAAAGGCUCAACCUUUGAAUGUCAGCGGAUACUGCCGGGCUAGAGUCCGGAAGAGGCGAGUGGAACUCCUGGUGUAGCGGUGAAAUGCGCAGAUAUCAGGAGGAACACCGGUGGCGAAGGCGGAUCUCUGGGCCAUUACUGACGCUGAGGAGCGAAAGCGUGGGGAGCGAACAGG